rnacentral:SRP_RNA from 1 species
GCCAGGUGUGGUGGCUCACACCUGUAAUCCCAGCGCUUUGGGAGGCCGAGGUGGGCGGAUCACCUGAGGUCAGGAGUUUGAGACCAGCCUGGCCAACAUGGUGAAACCCCAUCUCUA